AUGCAAGUCGAGCGGAUGAAGGGAGCUUGCUCCUGGAUUCAGCGGCGGACGGGUGAGUAAUGCCUAGGAAUCUGCCUGGUAGUGGGGGAUAACGUCCGGAAACGGGCGCUAAUACCGCAUACGUCCUGAGGGAGAAAGUGGGGGAUCUUCGGACCUCACGCUAUCAGAUGAGCCUAGGUCGGAUUAGCUAGUUGGUGGGGUAAAGGCCUACCAAGGCGACGAUCCGUAACUGGUCUGAGAGGAUGAUCAGUCACACUGGAACUGAGACACGGUCCAGACUCCUACGGGAGGCAGCAGUGGGGAAUAUUGGACAAUGGGCGAAAGCCUGAUCCAGCCAUGCCGCGUGUGUGAAGAAGGUCUUCGGAUUGUAAAGCACUUUAAGUUGGGAGGAAGGGCAGUAAGUUAAUACCUUGCUGUUUUGACGUUACCAACAGAAUAAGCACCGGCUAACUUCGUGCCAGCAGCCGCGGUAAUACGAAGGGUGCAAGCGUUAAUCGGAAUUACUGGGCGUAAAGCGCGCGUAGGUGGUUCAGCAAGUUGGAUGUGAAAUCCCCGGGCUCAACCUGGGAACUGCAUCCGAAACUACUGAGCUAGAGUACGGUAGAGGGUGGUGGAAUUUCCUGUGUAGCGGUGAAAUGCGUAGAUAUAGGAAGGAACACCAGUGGCGAAGGCGACCACCUGGACUGAUACUGACACUGAUGU
rnacentral:rRNA from 1 species